CCUACGGGAGGCAGCAGUGGGGAAUAUUGGGCAAUGGGCGCAAGCCUGACCCAGCAACGCCGCGUGCAGGAAGAAGGCUUUCGGGUUGUAAACUUCUUUUGACAGGGAAGAGUAGGAGACGGUACCUGUCGAAUAAGCCACGGCUAACUACGUGCCAGCAGCCGCGGUAAUACGUAGGUGGCAAGCGUUGUCCGGAUUUCCUGGGUGUAAAGGGCGUGUAGCCGGGUUGACAAGUCAGAUGUGAAAUCCUGCGGCUUAACCGCAGAACUGCAUUUGAAACUGUUGGUCUUGCGUACUGGAGAGGCAGACGGAAUGUCUAGUGUAGCGGUGAAAUGCGUAGAUAUUAUGAGGAACACCGGUGGCGAAGGCAGUCUGCUGGGCAGCAACUGACGGUGAGGCGCGAAAGCGUGGGGAGCAAACAGGAUUAGAUACCCGAGUAGUC
rnacentral:rRNA from 1 species